GACGGAGGGUGCUAGCGUUGUUCGGAUUUACUGGGCGUAAAGGGCGCGUAGGCGGUCUGUCGCGUCGGCUGUGAAAACUCGGGGCUCAACCCCGAGCCUGCAGUCGAUACGGGCAGACUAGAGUGCUGUAGGGGAGACUGGAAUUCCUGGUGUAGCGGUGAAAUGCGCAGAUAUCAGGAGGAACACCGGUGGCGAAGGCGGGUCUCUGGGCAGUAACUGACGCUGAGGAGCGAAAGCGUGGGGAGCGAACAGG
rnacentral:rRNA from 1 species